rnacentral:misc_RNA from 1 species
ACACCUCAACUCUCAUGGCUUGCCAUGAUGAGCUUGGACUUUGGGGGUCUUGUUGGCCUGUGAGCCAGCUCCUCUUAAAUGAAUUAGCUUGCCGGUGUUUGGUGGCAUCAUGGGUGUGAUAAUUAUCUACGCUUGUGGUUUUCUGCUAGGUAACCUUCAGCGAUGAAGGUUCGCUGGGGCUCAUAAACGUCUCUCCUCAGCGAGGACAGCUCUUUGAAC